ensembl:snoRNA SNORA70 Small nucleolar RNA SNORA70
UUGCAGCCAGUUAAGCCGACUGUGCUCUUUCCACUGUGGGGGCCCCGUGUGCCAUGGCCACAAACAGCAACCUCCUCUGAGGUAUGUACAGCCUGUUGCCCUAAGGGACCUUGGAGGCAGCC